rnacentral:lncRNA from 1 species
CUCAGGAAGGACAGAAGGGAUCACAACAGGCUGCACAUAUCCAGUGGUGUGGGGUGAUAGAUAGAUGCCCAGCGAUAGGCAAGUUGUCUGGAGUGAAUCAUUGCCAAAGUCACACAAUUUAGAUGAUGAAAUAAAAGAACUACCAUGAACUAAACAUCUAUGCUCUGACAUGAGGUUUCUGCUUUGGAGCCUGCUGCCCAUGGACUGAAUCUCCAAAACCAUGAGCCAAAUUAAACCUUUUCUCCUUUAAAUCGUAGAUGUCUUGUAUCAUGUCUCAGUCACAG